UGCCCACUCGUCAGUGACUUACUCGAUGUUGUAGUUGUGUAGAUAAUUUUUUGACCUAUGGUACCUCGACUGUUCACUGUAGAAUUACUGUAGUUUGACUACACAAUCAUUUGGUUAUCUAGCUAUUCGAAAUCUUGCAGUGUAUGUUGGUUGCAGUAGGUCCAUUAUAGGAAUAGGGUAUGCAUCAAGAUGAGAUUUGUUGACCCUGAUAGAUAGGAAGAAGUUCUAUGCAGUCCAUGAGACUGAGUCUUAAAAUCUAUGGCCAUGUUAGUGAAUGAUGGAAAGAAGUUUUCAUAAGAUUUCACAUAGACUCGAGUUGAUUGAAUCUAAUAUAUGACAGACGAACGAAUUUGAUGAGUUAUCUUUGAUCUGCAUCUUGUUGGGACUCACGAUAAAAGAAUCGAACUACACGAUAACUGUAUCUAGAGGUUUAAUAUUUUAUUUUACUGGAUUGCUACUAUAUACUGCUAGGUGUCACUGAUGGAUCGUGAGACUCGUCGAGCAUUAUCUUGAUGAUCGAUGAUCCUUGAUGGAUAGAGUUGAAAUUAUUUCAAUAGGUCGAAAGAAGUUUCGAUGAUAUUGUGAUAGGGAUUACAGUA
rnacentral:lncRNA from 1 species